rnacentral:rRNA from 1 species
GAUUAAGUUAUUAAGGGCGCACGGUGGAUGCCUUGGCACUAGAAGCCGAUGAAGGACGUUACUAACGACGAUAUGCUUUGGGGAGCUGUAAGUAAGCUUUGAUCCAGAGAUUUCCGAAUGGGGAAACCCAGCAUGAGUUAUGUCAUGUUAUCGAUAUGUGAAUACAUAGCAUAUCAGAAGGCACACCCGGAGAACUGAAACAUCUUAGUACCCGGAGGAAGAGAAAGAAAAUUCGAUUCCCUUAGUAGCGGCGAGCGAAACGGGAAGAGCCCAAACCAACAAGCUUGCUUGUUGGGGUUGUAGGACACUCUAUACGGAGUUACAAAGGACGACAUUAGACGAAUCAUCUGGAAAGAUGAAUCAAAGAAGGUAAUAAUCCUGUAGUCGAAAAUGUUGUCUCUCUUGAGUGGAUCCUGAGUACGACGGAGCACGUGAAAUUCCGUCGGAAUCUGGGAGGACCAUCUCCUAAGGCUAAAUACUCUCUAGUGACCGAUAGUGAACCAGUACCGUGAGGGAAAGGUGAAAAGCACCCCGGAAGGGGAGUGAAAUAGAACCUGAAACCGUGUGCUUACAAGUAGUCAGAGCCCGUUAAUGGGUGAUGGCGUGCCUUUUGUAGAAUGAACCGGCGAGUUACGAUUUGAUGCAAGGUUAAGCAGUAAAUGUGGAGCCGUAGCGAAAGCGAGUCUGAAUAGGGCGUUUAGUAUUUGGUCGUAGACCCGAAACCAGGUGAUCUACCCUUGGUCAGGUUGAAGUUCAGGUAACACUGAAUGGAGGACCGAACCGACUUACGUUGAAAAGUGAGCGGAUGAACUGAGGGUAGCGGAGAAAUUCCAAUCGAACCUGGAGAUAGCUGGUUCUCUCCGAAAUAGCUUUAGGGCUAGCCUCAAGUGAUGAUUAUUGGAGGUAGAGCACUGUUUGGACGAGGGGCCCCUCUCGGGUUACCGAAUUCAGACAAACUCCGAAUGCCAAUUAAUUUAACUUGGGAGUCAGAACAUGGGUGAUAAGGUCCGUGUUCGAAAGGGAAACAGCCCAGACCACCAGCUAAGGUCCCAAAAUAUAUGUUAAGUGGAAAAGGAUGUGGCGUUGCCCAGACAACUAGGAUGUUGGCUUAGAAGCAGCCAUCAUUUAAAGAGUGCGUAAUAGCUCACUAGUCGAGUGACACUGCGCCGAAAAUGUACCGGGGCUAAACAUAUUACCGAAGCUGUGGAUUGUCCUUUGGACAAUGGUAGGAGAGCGUUCUAAGGGCGUUGAAGCAUGAUCGUAAGGACAUGUGGAGCGCUUAGAAGUGAGAAUGCCGGUGUGAGUAGCGAAAGACGGGUGAGAAUCCCGUCCACCGAUUGACUAAGGUUUCCAGAGGAAGGCUCGUCCGCUCUGGGUUAGUCGGGUCCUAAGCUGAGGCCGACAGGCGUAGGCGAUGGAUAACAGGUUGAUAUUCCUGUACCACCUAUAAUCGUUUUAAUCGAUGGGGGGACGCAGUAGGAUAGGCGAAGCGUGCGAUUGGAUUGCACGUCUAAGCAGUAAGGCUGAGUAUUAGGCAAAUCCGGUACUCGUUAAGGCUGAGCUGUGAUGGGGAGAAGACAUUGAGUNNNNNNNNNNNNNNNNNNNNNNNNNNNNNNNNNNNNNNNNNNNNNNNNNNNNNNNNNNNNNNNNNNNNNNNNNNNNNNNNNNNNNNNNNNNNNNNGAGUCUUCGAGUCGUUGAUUUCACACUGCCGAGAAAAGCCUCUAGAUAGAAAAUAGGUGCCCGUACCGCAAACCGACACAGGUAGUCAAGAUGAGAAUUCUAAGGUGAGCGAGCGAACUCUCGUUAAGGAACUCGGCAAAAUGACCCCGUAACUUCGGGAGAAGGGGUGCUCUUUAGGGUUAACGCCCAGAAGAGCCGCAGUGAAUAGGCCCAAGCGACUGUUUAUCAAAAACACAGGUCUCUGCUAAACCGUAAGGUGAUGUAUAGGGGCUGACGCCUGCCCGGUGCUGGAAGGUUAAGAGGAGUGGUUAGCUUCUGCGAAGCUACGAAUCGAAGCCCCAGUAAACGGCGGCCGUAACUAUAACGGUCCUAAGGUAGCGAAAUUCCUUGUCGGGUAAGUUCCGACCCGCACGAAAGGCGUAACGAUUUGGGCACUGUCUCAACGAGAGACUCGGUGAAAUCAUAGUACCUGUGAAGAUGCAGGUUACCCGCGACAGGACGGAAAGACCCCGUGGAGCUUUACUGUAGCCUGAUAUUGAAAUUCGGCACAGCUUGUACAGGAUAGGUAGGAGCCUUUGAAACGUGAGCGCUAGCUUACGUGGAGGCGCUGGUGGGAUACUACCCUAGCUGUGUUGGCUUUCUAACCCGCACCACUUAUCGUGGUGGGAGACAGUGUCAGGCGGGCAGUUUGACUGGGGCGGUCGCCUCCUAAAAGGUAACGGAGGCGCUCAAAGGUUCCCUCAGAAUGGUUGGAAAUCAUUCAUAGAGUGUAAAGGCAUAAGGGAGCUUGACUGCGAGACCUACAAGUCGAGCAGGGUCGAAAGACGGACUUAGUGAUCCGGUGGUUCCGCAUGGAAGGGCCAUCGCUCAACGGAUAAAAGCUACCCCGGGGAUAACAGGCUUAUCUCCCCCAAGAGUUCACAUCGACGGGGAGGUUUGGCACCUCGAUGUCGGCUCAUCGCAUCCUGGGGCUGUAGUCGGUCCCAAGGGUUGGGCUGUUCGCCCAUUAAAGCGGUACGCGAGCUGGGUUCAGAACGUCGUGAGACAGUUCGGUCCCUAUCCGUCGUGGGCGUAGGAAAUUUGAGAGGAGCUGUCCUUAGUACGAGAGGACCGGGAUGGACAUACCUCUGGUGUACCAGUUGUCGUGCCAACGGCAUAGCUGGGUAGCUAUGUGUGGACGGGAUAAGUGCUGAAAGCAUCUAAGCAUGAAGCCCCCCUCAAGAUGAGAUUUCCCAACUUCGGUUAUAAGAUCCCUCAAAGAUGAUGAGGUUAAUAGGUUCGAGGUGGAAGCAUGGUGACAUGUGGAGCUGACGAAUACUAAUCGAUCGAAGACUUAAUCAA